rnacentral:rRNA from 1 species
CCCUUAGAUGUUCUGGGCCGCACGCGUGCUACACUGAGUGGAUCAGCGGGUCAGGUUGCGCGAAAGUGUUUCCUAAUCUUUAAAUCCGCUCGUGAUGGGGAUUGACGGUUGCAAUUUUCCGUCAUGAACGAGGAAUACCUUGUAAGCGCGGGUCAUCAUCCCGCGCUGAAUACGUCCCUGCCCUUUGUACACACCGCCCGUCGCUCCUACCGAUUGGAUGGUCCGGUGAAGCCUCGAGAUUGUGGCGGUUGCCUUUAUUGGUGGCCGCCGCGAGAACUUGUCUAAACCUUAUCAUCUAGAGGAAGGUGAAGUCGUAACA